UACCAAAGGCCUAGUGCUUGGCCUCGAGC
rnacentral:piRNA from 1 species